AGAGUUUGAUUAUGGCUCAGGAUGAACGCUAGCGAUAGGCCUAACACAUGGCAAGGUCGAGGGGCAGCACAUGAGUAGCAAUACGAUGGUGGCGACCGGCGCACGGGUGAGUAACACGUAUGCAACCUACCUUUAACAGGGGAAUAACCCGUUGAAAAACGGACUAAUACUCCAUAACACGAGGGGUCCCGCAGUGGGAAUAUUUGUUAAAGAUUAAUCGGUUGAAGAUGGGCAUGCGUUCCAUUAGCUUGUGGUGAGGUAACGGCUCACCAAGGCCACGAUGGAUAGGGGAACUGAGAGGUUUAUCCCCCACACUGGAACUGAGACACGGUCCAGACUCCUACGGGAGGCAGCAGUGAGGAAUAUUGGUCAAUGGAGGCAACUCUGAACCAGCCAAGUCGCGUGAAGGAUGAAGGUCUUAUGGAUUGUAAACUUCUUUUGCAAGGGAAUAAAGUGGGGGACGUGUCCUCCUUUGCAUGUACCUUGCGAAUAAGGAUCGGCUAACUCCGUGCCAGCCGCCGC
rnacentral:rRNA from 1 species